rnacentral:rRNA from 1 species
ACUCAAGAAAAGGAUCUUAGUCCAAGCUAAAAGUCAAAAGAAUUACAAAAAAUAGACUUAGAUUUUUAGACUCAUUCAAAUAAGGUACAGCCUAUUUGAAACAGGAUACAACCUCUACCAACGGGUAAUUCUAUACAAUUUACUUAAAAGUCGGCCUAACAGCAGCCAUCUUUAAAACUGCGUCAAAGCUUAUUCGUAAUUCUUACCAAUAUUCCACCUACAUUAAUUAACCCUUCAUUAGUAUUGAGUAAUUCUAUAUCUUUAUAGAACCUUUUAUGUUAAAACUAGUAACAAGAAGAAGAACUUCUCUUUAAUGCAAGCAUAAAUCAGCGAGGACCACCCACUGAUAAUUAACACCUGUAAACCCAAAGUAAAAACUUAACCAGAAAAAUUUACUAUAACACAGUGUUAACCUAACACAAGAGCAUUUCAAGAAAGAUUAAAAGAAAAAGAAGGAACUCGGCAAAUAUUAAUCUCGCCUGUUUACCAAAAACAUCGCCUCUUGCAAAUAUAAGAGGUCCAGCCUGCCCAGUGACACUGUUCAACGGCCGCGGUAACCUAACCGUGCAAAGGUAGCAUAAUCAUUUGUCCUUUAAAUGGGGACUAGCAUGAAUGGCACCACGAGGAUUAUACUGUCUCCUUUUUCCAAUCAGUGAAACUAAUCCCCCCGUGAAGAAGCGGGGAUAUACAUAUAAGACGAGAAGACCCUAUGGAGCUUUAAGCAAAACAACAUCUGCCGUAACACAUUAUAAUUUAAGAAAAAAUAACCUGUAACUAUAGCACUAUGAUUGUUAGCUUUAGGUUGGGGCGACCGCGGAGUAAAAACAAACCUCCGCAUUGAAAGGAAUAAAAUACCUAAACAAAAAGUUACAACUUUACGUAUCAAUAAAUUGACAUCAAUUGACCCAAAAUUUUGAUCAACGAAACAAGUUACCCUAGGGAUAACAGCGCAAUCUACUUCAAGAGUCCAUAUCGACAAGUGGGUUUACGACCUCGAUGUUGGAUCAGGGUGUCCCAGUGGUGCAGCCGCUACUAAAGGUUCGUUUGUUCAACGAUUAAAACCCU